GCCUGCAUGGUGGUGCAGUUGGUAGCACUGUUGUCUUGCAGCACAAAGAUCCUUGGUUUGACUCCUGGCCCGGGGU